GCGGGGGUUUGCGUUCGCGCAGCCCCUACC
rnacentral:snRNA from 1 species